CGGACCAAAUGUGGAGGCGGGCCGGAUCCGGAUCCCACGGGCCGAUGGGGACCCCUGAUGUAGAGAAUCAACGUCACUGGUUGCAACUUCUCCUUCUGUUCGCUGACUGACCUGGUAGAAACUUUACUGGAGAAAUCCCAUUCAUUGAGAGAAAGCCCAGACAGAGUAAUGAAAUCAUGUUAGAAUUGAGCUAAAGAAGACGAUGGCCUUCUUUAUACGAAACGAAUUCUGGAGCCUUGACCAGGGAUCUUCGGGGGAGAUUUCUGACAGGCUGGCGCACCGGCAGCUGAUUCCCAGUAAUUGGCUGGUGGACUUUUAAGAAGCAGUGGAGCAGUCACUCAUCGCUCGAUGGUCCCACUUGUUGAACCCGACGAGCUGUUGGAAUCAAGCCAGGAACCAAGUCCGGACAUUGAGAUCGCUUUCUGGCAAGACUGAAUAUCUCCGCCUGCCGCUCUUCUCCCCACUCCAUCAUUGAUCUUCAGGACGCUCCCGGAUCCUAGACUUUCCCCUCCGCGCUACCACCAGCCGAGAGACAAACCGGAGCUGAGCUGCCUACCCGUUUUCUGGAGCACAAUCAGAUUUAAUUUUUGGAAAGAACCUCCAUUAAACUUACACUGAUCAGUA